rnacentral:rRNA from 1 species
UACGUAGGGGGCAAGCGUUAUCCGGAAUUACUGGGUGUAAAGGGAGCGUAGACGGUGAUGUAAGUCUGGAGUGAAAGGCGGGGGCCCAACCCCCGGACUGCUCUGGAAACUAUAUGACUGGAGUGCCGGAGAGGUAAGCGGAAUUCCUAGUGUAGCGGUGAAAUGCGUAGAUAUUAGGAGGAACACCAGUGGCGGAGGCGGCUUACUGGACGGUAACUGACGCUGAGGCUCGAAGGCCAGGGGAGCGAAAGGG